rnacentral:rRNA from 1 species
UACGGAGGGUGCAAGCGUUAAUCGGAAUUACUGGGCGUAAAGCGCGCGUAGGCGGCUGAUUAAGUCGGAUGUGAAAGCCCCGGGCUCAACCUGGGAAUUGCAUUCGAUACUGGUCAGCUCGAGUAUGAGAGAGGGAGGUAGAAUUCCACGUGUAGCGGUGAAAUGCGUAGAUAUGUGGAGGAAUACCAGUGGCGAAGGCGGCCUCCUGGCUUAAUACUGACGCUGAGGUGCGAAAGCGUGGGGAGCAAACAGG